UACGUAGGGGCAAGCGUUGUCCGGAUUUAUUGGGCGUAAAGAGCGUGUAGGCGGCCAGACAGGUCAGCUGUGAAAACUCGAGGCUCAACCUCGAGACGUCGGUUGAAACCGUCUGGCUAGAGUCCGGAAGAGGAGAGUGGAAUUCCCGGUGUAGCGGUGAAAUGCGCAGAUAUCAGGAGGAACACCGGUGGCGAAGGCGGGUCUCUGGGCCGAUACUGACGCUGGAGGAGCGAAAGCGUGGGGAGCGAACAGG
rnacentral:rRNA from 1 species